CUGCAUAGUAACUUGGGCCCUUUUCAUCUUUUAUGUUGAGUUCCAGAUAUGAGUCAAAUCCUGAUGUUCCUAGGUGAAACUCCAAGUGAGCACAUGAACCAAAGAGACUCCUAUGGUAAGCCCUCAAGAUUGUUGCCAGCCUAGGAAAGCCUAGACCUUUAGUAACGGACCAUGGAUUAAACUGUGAUCAGAUGGCCCUCCAGGUGGGAGUGAUUUUCACUUAUCCAGCUAGGCUAAGGCAUGGGAUGCCAGGGCCUUGGCUAUUUUCCAGGAAUGGUGAACCACUGGGCAGUAUUGUGAGCAGACUAAAAAGCAAGAGAUUUGACGCUGCUCCCCACCAACCUGAUGCUUGGCGCUCCCACCGAGUUUCUCCAUCAAUUAUUGACGUCAGAACCGAGAGGACUGACAAUGCAGACGGGGCUGAAAAAAGUCAUUGUAAUCACCACCUGGAAUGGAUUCGGGGCACUCAGCACCCAGCAUGGGGGUUGCCGCCCAGAUCAGGGGGGGAUGAGGAGUGGUGGGGAGGGGGCGUGAUUACCAUUGGGGAAAAGGAGAAGGAAUUCGUGCAUCAAAAAGGAGAUUGAGCAAGAUGAUGUCCAGGCUUCCUUCCAGCUCUGAGAUUCUAGGAUGCUCCUAGGUCAUACCCUUAAUUUUCCAGGCCUCUGUACUUUGGGUCUGGCCCCUACUUCCUGCUGGUUAAAGGGAUUUGUGUGAGGCAUAUACAAGUAGAAGGCCAGCAUCUGGAGAGUUGAUCCUGGUUUUGACAUAGACUAAAUGUGUGACCUUAAGCAAGUCAUUGAA
rnacentral:lncRNA from 1 species